rnacentral:pre_miRNA from 1 species
CUGCAUACCUUGUUACAUUACUGCAUACCUUGUUACAUGUAACAAGGUAUGCAGUAAUGUAACAAGGUAUGCAGU